UAUCAUCGUUCAUCACCAACUCAGCUCUCUCUCUCUCCUCUCUCUCUCUCUCUCUCUCUCUUUCUCAAAUGGGUUCGAGCAGCAGUCGACUGGGCUCGCGCCCAUCUCGGCCCCAAGUCAAUCGCACCGCCAGUCGUUCCAUACUCUCCUCUUUCGUCUGCGGUGGCUCCUCCGCACGUGCUACUCAAGAGAUGGAAGAUCACUGCAGCUGUGUGUCUUGUGAAAUGUGCAGAGCAAUCUGAUCGUGAUAUCAAUCAAGUCCAGAACUCCGGAGAGGGAACCUUGUUGGUCUCCAGUACUGGAUCACCGUUCACCUGCCCCGUUAUUGAAAUUGGAUCAUCAUCUGAGCGCAUUGUUGAAGAAGGUUUAAGCAGUGUUGACACAAGUAACCAGGGGAAGUGCUUGUCCAAAAGUAAAGAACUAAUUCCUCAUCAGGUAAGUGCUGAAUAUAGUCACGACCAAUCUUGUAUGGAUAAUAGUCCUACAGCUAGUACUUCGUUUAGACAACAACAAUCUUCAGAAACAGUCUCUUUGAAUCGCUCGGCUAAUGUGGAUGCGGUCAAUGGCAUUGACAUUUCAGCAGACAAGAAUGUAUCUCAGACCUGUCCUGAGGUUAUGUGUCCAAGUAGUUCGUCUCCACAAGGGAUGCGGAAUUCCCGUUCUCAGGAAGUGUCUGUUGAGAAUCAUGUGGCUGACGUAAGGGGUGUGCAAAGUUCAAAUGCUGAUACUGAUUCUGCUAAUGUUUCUGAAAUUCCAUCAUCUUUUGACUCACGUGGAAAUGAUUCUCUACGGGAGGCAAUACCUUCUGGUUUGGGAUUCCUUGUGUCCAAUAGGGAACAAGGCCAGGAAGAUGGAAGUGUACUUCAUGUUGACGUUAUGAGCAUUUCUUCCAACUUUUUGAGGAGUAGCAAUGCUGAUGCAAGUAAUCGUGAGGCUAGAAGGAAUGGCAGGCGACUGUUCUGGGAUGCAUUUUCAAGGCGCAGCUCCAGGAGAUUCAUUGAUUCACCAACCAUUCUUUUCUCUACUGAUGAUACUGAGGAUAUGGGAUCUCAUGACAGAUGGCUACUUGGUUUGAGUGGUGAUUUAUUUGAUGAUGGGAUUGGAGCUGAUUCUGGUCACCGGGCCAGUAGAAUUCCCUACUCGAAUGAACGACGACGACAUUCUAGAUCUGAGGUCUGGGAAAGACUUCGUGUUGGCCUUGAUGAUAAUGGCCAGCGUAAUACCUCUUGUCCCACAGGAAUCCACCCUCGUGGCAUGUGUUCAUGUGGCUCAUUCUCGACGACCGAAGAGUCUAGUACUCGGGCAAGUAUAUCAAGAAUUGUCAUGCUCGCUGAAGCUCUAUUUGAGGUUUUGGAUGAAAUUCACCGCCAACCUGUGUCACUUUCACUAUCGAUGGUCUCGGCUCCUGCCCCAGCAUCUGUUGUUGAUGGUUUUCCUCUUAAAAGUCACACAAAGGUUGACAAAUCAAAGUCCGGGGAUGAUGCUGAGCAGUGUUACAUAUGCCUCGCUGAGUAUGAGGAAGGAGACAAAAUUCGAGUUCUUCCCUGCCAUCACGAGUAUCACAUGUCCUGCGUUGACAAGUGGCUCAAAGAGAUACACGGGGUUUGCCCACUUUGCCGAGGAGAUGUUCGUGAGGGUUUCACCGACUGUUCUGUCUCUAACUCAGAGAUAUCUUCUCUUUGAUUUAAUUGUACAUACUACACAAUAAUGUAAAUGGUUAAAGAUGGUUCUUCGCAUCUGCCACGACAUGUAUUUUGUCCCCCAAUGCUAACUUGUAUCUGAAAUUUUCCGAAAUCCAUGAUAUUGUAGCGUCUUCCACUCUCGAUGCGGAAUUGUAGUACUUAUAUAAUGAUUGAGAAAAUGAGAUAUUUAUACAUCAA